UCCCCCAAAGGAUUGGAUUGUAUCGUAUAUUCCAGGAUUCAUAUAAUACAAAAGUAAAUGUCUAAUAAAACUGACAUUUUAAUAACCAUUCUUCGUAUUUUGCUACCAAAAUUUGGGAACAUUGUUAGUACAAGCAUCAAAGAAGCGAUCAUUAUGGAGGAAAAUAAUUUUUCAAAAGUUUAUAUGAAAAUGAGGAAGUCGGGACUUACUACUGUUGAUAAUUUAAUAAAAUGGAUGCAAGAAGCGAAAAUAAUAGAUGAAACUCUAUUAACUGAACGCAGAGUGCGAAUGAUGUUUCCUUCAACAGAGAAGGGAGUGCAAGUUGAACUAGAAGAAUUUCAGACGAUUAU